AUUGAACGCUGGCGGCAUGCCUUACACAUGCAAGUCGAACGGUAACGGGCCUUCGGGUGCCGCCGAGUGGCGAACGGGGGAGUAAUACAUCGGAACGUGCCCGAUCGUGGGGGAUAACGAGGCGAAAGCUUUGCUAAUACCGCAUACGAUCUACGGAUGAAAGCAGGGGACCGCAAGGCCUUGCGCGGACGGAGCGGCCGAUGGCAGAUUAGGUAGUUGGUGGGAUAAAAGCUUACCAAGCCGACGAUCUGUAGCUGGUCUGAGAGGAUGAGCAGCCACACUGGGACUGGGACACGGCCCCGGCUCCUGCGGGAGGCAGCAGUGGGGAAUUUUGGACAAUGGGCGCAAGCCUGAUCCAGCCAUGCCGCGUGCGGGAUGAAGGCCUUCGGGUUGUAAACUGCUUUUGUGCGGAACAAAAAGCCUUCUUUUAAUACAGGAGGGUCAUGACGGUACCGUAAGAAUAAGCACCGGCUAACUACGUG
rnacentral:rRNA from 1 species